AAUUAAAGUAGAGGUGCGAAGUUAAAGAGUAUCCGGUUUGAUGUAUAUGGAGCAUUUGAGAGCCGGGGAAAGGGAAGUUCGCCGAAGGGUAUGUCAGCCCAUAAUGAUAUAUUCUGGUUGUGCAGUUAAGAGCUGUAUGACUGUCAUCGUAAGAUGGAGAGCUACUUAAUAG
rfam:Coprococcus sp. CAG:782 genomic scaffold, scf107